rnacentral:rRNA from 1 species
CGUAACAAGGUUUCCGUAGGUGAACCUGCGGAAGGAUCAUUACAGAGUUCAUGCCCGAAAGGGUAGACCUCCCACCCUUGUGUAUUAUUACUUUGUUGCUUUGGCGAGCUGCCUUCGGGCCUUGUAUGCUCGCCAGAGAAUACCAAAACUCUUUUUAUUAAUGUCGUCUGAGUACUAUAUAAUAGUUAAAACUUUCAACAACGGAUCUCUUGGUUCUGGCAUCGAUGAAGAACGCAGCGAAAUGCGAUAAGUAAUGUGAAUUGCAGAAUUCAGUGAAUCAUCGAAUCUUUGAACGCACAUUGCGCCCCUUGGUAUUCCGGGGGGCAUGCCUGUUCGAGCGUCAUUUCAACCCUCAAGCUUAGCUUGGUAUUGAGUCUAUGUCAGUAAUGGCAGGCUCUAAAAUCAGUGGCGGCGCCGCUGGGUCCUGAACGUAGUAAUAUCUCUCGUUACAGGUUCUCGGUGUGCUUCUGCCAAAACCCAAAUUUUUCUAUGGUUGACCUCGGAUCAGGUAGGGAUACCCGCUGAACUUAAGCAUAUCAA